rnacentral:tRNA from 1 species
CGUGGUGUGGCGCAGUCCGGUAGCGAGCUCGUUUUGGGAGUAAGAUGUCGGAGGUUCAAAUCCUCUCGCCCCGG